UACGUAGGGUGCAAGCGUUGUCCGGAAUUAUUGGGCGUAAAGAGCUCGUAGGCGGUUUGUCGCGUCUGCUGUGAAAACUCGGGGCUUAACCCCGGGCCUGCAGUGGGUACGGGCAGACUAGAGUGCGGUAGGGGAGACUGGAAUUCCUGGUGUAGUGGUGAAAUGCGCAGAUAUCAGGAGGAACACCGGUGGCGAAGGCGGGUCUCUGGGCCGUAACUGACGCUGAGGAGCGAAAGCGUGGGGAGCGAACAGG
rnacentral:rRNA from 1 species